rnacentral:tRNA from 1 species
AAGAAACUAGUUUAAUUUAAAAAACAUUAAUUUGUCAUAUUAAAAUUACUUACUUAGUGUUUCUUU